rnacentral:rRNA from 1 species
GACGAACGCCGUUGGCGUGCUUAACACAUGCAAGUCGAACGGAAAGGCCCUGCUUUUGUGGGGUGCUCGAGUGGCGAACGGGUGAGUAACACGUGAGUAACCUGCCCUUGACUUUGGGAUAACUUCAGGAAACUGGGGCUAAUACCGGAUAGGAGCUCCUGCUGCAUGGUGGGGGUUGGAAAGUUUCGGCGGUUGGGGAUGGACUCGCGGCUUAUCAGCUUGUUGGUGGGGUAGUGGCUUACCAAGGCUUUGACGGGUAGCCGGCCUGAGAGGGUGACCGGCCACAUUGGGACUGAGAUACGGCCCAGACUCCUACGGGAGGCAGCAGUGGGGAAUAUUGCACAAUGGGCGGAAGCCUGAUGCAGCAACGCCGCGUGCGGGAUGACGGCCUUCGGGUUGUAAACCGCUUUCGCCUGUGACGAAGCGUGAGUGACGGUAAUGGGUAAAGAAGCACCGGCUAACUACGUGCCAGCAGCCGCGGUGAUACGUAGGGUGCGAGCGUUGUCCGGAUUUAUUGGGCGUAAAGGGCUCGUAGGUGGUUGAUCGCGUCGGAAGUGUAAUCUUGGGGCUUAACCCUGAGCGUGCUUUCGAUACGGGUUGACUUGAGGAAGGUAGGGGAGAAUGGAAUUCCUGGUGGAGCGGUGGAAUGCGCAGAUAUCAGGAGGAACACCAGUGGCGAAGGCGGUUCUCUGGGCCUUUCCUGACGCUGAGGAGCGAAAGCGUGGGGAGCGAACAGGCUUAGAUACCCUGGUAGUCCACGCUGUAAACGGUGGGUACUAGGUGUGGGGUCCAUUCCACGGGUUCCGUGCCGUAGCUAACGCUUUAAGUACCCCGCCUGGGGAGUACGGCCGGCAAGGCUAAAACUCAAAGGAAUUGACGGGGCCCCGCACAAGCGGCGGAGCAUGCGGAUUAAUUCGAUGCAACGCGUAGAACCUUACCUGGGUUUGACAUGGAUCGGGAGUGCUCAGAGAUGGGUGUGCCUCUUUUGGGGUCGGUUCACAGGUGGUGCAUGGCUGUCGUCAGCUCGUGUCGUGAGAUGUUGGGUUAAGUCCCGCAACGAGCGCAACCCUUGUUCACUGUUGCCAGCACGUUAUGGUGGGGACUCAGUGGAGACCGCCGGGGUCAACUCGGAGGAAGGUGGGGAUGACGUCAAGUCAUCAUGCCCCUUAUGUCCAGGGCUUCACGCAUGCUACAAUGGCUGGUACAGAGAGUGGCGAGCCUGUGAGGGUGAGCGAAUCUCGGAAAGCCGGUCUCAGUUCGGAUUGGGGUCUGCAACUCGACCUCAUGAAGUCGGAGUCGCUAGUAAUCGCAGAUCAGCAACGCUGCGGUGAAUACGUUCCCGGG